rnacentral:rRNA from 1 species
UACGUAGGGUGCGAGCGUUGUCCGGAAUUAUUGGGCGUAAAGAGCUCGUAGGCGGUGUGUCACGUCGGCCGUGAAAACCUGCAGCUUAGCUGUGGGCGUGCGGUCGAUACGGGCAUCACUGGAGUUCGGCAGGGGAGACUGGAAUUCCUGGUGUAGCGGUGAAAUGCGCAGAUAUCAGGAGGAACACCGGUGGCGAAGGCGGGUCUCUGGGCCGAUACUGACGCUGAGGCACGAAAGUGUGGGGAGCGAACAGG